CGAAAGGGUGACGAAGCGACGCCGCGUGUGGGAAGAAGGCCUUCGGGUUGUAAACCACUGUCGGGAGUUAGGAAAUGUAAGGGUGUUAAUAGCAUCCUUACUUGACUAAGGCUCCGGAGGAAGCCACGGCUAACUCUGUGCCAGCAGCCGCGGUAAUACAGAGGCGGCAAGCGUUGUUCGGAAUUAUUGGGCGUAAAGAGCACGUAGGCGGCUCUGCAAGUCAGCUGUGAAAGCCUUCUGCUUAACGGAAGAACAGCAGUUGAAACUACAGGGCUUGAGUGCGGGAGGGGAGAGUGGAACUUCUGGUGGAGCGGUGAAAUGCGUAGAUAUCAGAAGGAACGCCGGCGGCGAAAGCGGCUCUCUGGCCCGUAACUGACGCUGAGUGUGCGAAAGCUAGGGGAGCAAACGGGAUUAGAUACCCCGGUAGUCCUAGCCGU
rnacentral:rRNA from 1 species